CCUACGGGUGGCUGCAGUGAGGAAUAUUGGUCAAUGGACGAGAGUCUGAACCAGCCAAGUAGCGUGAAGGAUGACUGCCCUAUGGGUUGUAACCUCCUUUUUAUGGGAAUAAAAAGGUCCACGUGUGGGUUUUUGUAUGUACCAUAUUAAUUAGGAUCGGCUAACUCCGUUCCAGCAGCCGCGGUAAUACGGAGGAACCGAGCGUUUUCCGGAUUUAUUGGGUUUAAAGGGAGCGUAGGUGGAUUGUUACGUCAGUUGUGAAAGUUUGCGGCUCAACCUUUAACUUGCAGUUGAAAAUGGCAGUCUUGAGUACAGUAGAGGUGGGCGGAAUUCGUGGUGUAGCGGUGAAAUGCUUAGAUAUCACGAAGAACUCCGAUUGCGAAGGCAGUUCACUGGACUGCAACUGACACUGAGGCUCGAAAGUGUGGGUAUCAAACAGGAUUAGAUACCCGAGUAGUC
rnacentral:rRNA from 1 species